rnacentral:rRNA from 1 species
GAUGAACGCUGGCGGCGUGCCUAAUACUUGCAAGUCGAGCGAACAGACGAGGAGCUUGCUCCUUUGACGUUAGCGGCGGACGGGUGAGUAACACGUAGGUAACCUACCUAUAAGACUGGGAUAACUUCGGGAAACCGGAGCUAAUACCGGAUAAUAUUUCGAACCGCAUGGUUCGAUAGUGAAAGAUGGCUUUGCUAUCACUUAUAGAUGGACCUGCGCCGUAUUAGCUAGUUGGUAAGGUAACGGCUUACCAAGGCAACGAUACGUAGCCGACCUGAGAGGGUGAUCGGCCACACUGGAACUGAGACACGGUCCAGACUCCUACGGGAGGCAGCAGUAGGGAAUCUUCCGCAAUGGGCGAAAGCCUGACGGAGCAACGCCGCGUGAGUGAUGAAGGUCUUCGGAUCGUAAAACUCUGUUAUUAGGGAAGAACAAACGUGUAAGUAACUGUGCACGUCUUGACGGUACCUAAUCAGAAAGCCACGGCUAACUACGUG